GAAGUUUCCCUCAGGAUAGCUGGCGCUCUCGAAUGCUCACCCACGUAGUUUUAUCCAGUAAAGUGAAUGAUUAGAGGUCUUGAGGCCGAAACAUAUACUCA
rnacentral:miRNA from 1 species